GGCACAUAGGCCACCUUGCAAGAGAGGGACUCUUGUCAUAAGCCAAGGAUGGCCAAGGUUUGUUGUGACAGAAACUCCUUUAAAGUCUUUAUAGUUAAACUGGAAUUUAGAUGAUUCAAUCCAACAUUCUGGAACUUCUUAACUAUGUAACCUUGGCUAAGUUAUCUCAACUCUUUAAAAGUAAGUACCCUCCUCUCUAAAAGCAUAAAGGAGUAAGAAUAGUACCUGGAACAUAGGAAAUGUUUAGGCUGUUGGAGCUCAGGAGGAGACCUAUAGAAAUCAGAAAACCUCACUUCAACAGGCACCACCACCUGCCAGUAGGACAUUCUAAAACCAACCAGAUGACUUCCCUGAGCCUCAGUUUUUUCAUUUGUAAAGUGGAGAAGUAGCAACACCUUUCCUACAGAACUAGGAUAGAGGGAGAAAAUAGAUGUGAAACAGUGAAAUGCUAGAUUAAGUAUAAGAGUAAUUAUAAACACGAAGAAAAAU
rnacentral:lncRNA from 1 species